UGGAAACCAUGCUGGGGCACAUGGCAAGCAACAAGGUUGUUGGUGACAGCCAAAAUAGCUUCACUAAGGGCAAAUCCUGCCUGACCAAUUUGGUGGCCUUCUAUGGUGGGGCUGCAGAACUGAUGGA